rnacentral:rRNA from 1 species
AACGAACGCUGGCGGCAGGCCUAACACAUGCAAGUCGAGCGAGGACUUCGGUCCUAGCGGCGGACGGGUGAGUAACGCGUGGGAACGUGCCCUUUGCUUCGGAAUAGCCCUGGGAAAUGGGGAUAAUACCCGAAUAGGCCCUUUGGGGGAAAGAUUUAUCGGCGAAGGAUCGGCCCGCGUUGGAUUAGGUAGUUGGUGGGGUAAUGGCCUACCAAGCCGACGAUCCAUAGCUGGUUUGAGAGGAUGAUCAGCCACACUGGGACUGAGACACGGCCCAGACUCCUACGGGAGGCAGCAGUGGGGAAUCUUAGACAAUGGGGGAAACCCUGAUCUAGCCAUGCCGCGUGAGCGAUGAAGGCCUUAGGGUUGUAAAGCUCUUUCAGCUGGGAAGAUAAUGACGGUACCAGCAGAAGAAGCCCCGGCUAACUCCGUG